rnacentral:rRNA from 1 species
ACGGCGACCGGCGCACGGGUGAGUAACACGUAUGCGACCUGCCCGUAGCAGGGGGAUAAGCGGAAGAAAUUCCGUCUAAUACCGCGUAAUAUCUUUCGGGGGCAUCCCUGAGGGAUUAAAGGAAGCGAUUCCGGCUACGGAUGGGCAUGCGGCGCAUUAGCUAGUCGGCGGGGUAACGGCCCACCGAGGCAACGAUGCGUAGGGGUUCUGAGAGGAAGGUCCCCCACACUGGUACUGAGACACGGACCAGACUCCUACGGAAGGCAGCAG